CCUACGGGCGGCAGCAGUGAGGAAUAUUGGUCAAUGGACGAGAGUCUGAACCAGCCAAGUAGCGUGAAGGAUGACUGCCCUAUGGGUUGUAAACUUCUUUUAUAUGGGACUAAAAUGUUCCACGUGUGGGAUUUUGUAUGUACCAUAUGAAUAAGGAUCGGCUAACUCCGUGCCAGCAGCCGCGGUAAUACGGAGGAUCCGAGCGUUAUCCGGAUUUAUUGGGUUUAAAGGGAGCGUAGGUGGAUUGUUAAGUCAGUUGUGAAAGUUUGCGGCUCAACCGUAAAAUUGCAGUUGAAACUGGCAGUCUUGAGUACAGUAGAGGUGGGCGGAAUUCGGGGUGUAGCGGUGAAAUGCUUAGAUAUCACGAAGAACUCCGAUUGCGAAGGCAGUUCACUGGACUGCAACUGACACUGAGGCUCGAAAGUGUGGGUAUCAAACAGGAUUAGAUACCCCAGUAGUCC
rnacentral:rRNA from 1 species